CCUACGGGAGGCAGCAGUGGGGAAUAUUGGACAAUGGGGGAAACCCUGAUCCAGCGACGCCGCGUGAGUGAAGAAGUAUUUCGGUACGUAAAGCUCUAUCAGCAGGAAAGAAAAUGACGGUACCUGACUAAGAAGCACCGGCUAACUACGUGCCAGCAGCCGCGGUAAUACGUAGGGGGCCAGCGUUAUCCGGAUUUACUGGGUGUAAAGGGAGCGUAGACGGCAGCGCAAGUCUGGAGGGAAAUGCCGGGGGCCAACCCCGGAACUGCUGUGGAAACUGUGAAGCUGGAGUGCAGGAGAGGUAAGCGGAAUGCCUGGUGUAGCGGUGAAAUGCGUAGAUAUCAGGAGGAACACCGGCGGCGAAGGCAGCUUACUGGACUGUAACUGACGUUGAGGCUCGAAGGCGUGGGGAGCAAACAGGAUUAGAUACCCCAGUAGUC
rnacentral:rRNA from 1 species